AUUGAACGCUGGCGGCAUGCCUUACACAUGCAAGUCGAACGGCAGCACGGGGCAACCUGGUGGCGAGUGGCGAACGGGUGAGUAAUGCAUCGGAACGUGCCAUUGAGUGGGGGAUAACGUAGCGAAAGUUGCGCUAAUACCGCAUAUUCUGUGAGCAGGAAAGCAGGGGGACCGCAAGGCCUUGCGCUCUUUGAGCGGCCGAUGUCAGAUUAGCUAGUUGGUGAGGUAACGGCUUACCAAGGCGACGAUCUGUAGCGGGUCUGAGAGGAUGAUCCGCCACACUGGAACUGAGACACGGUCCAGACUCCUACGGGAGGCAGCAGUGGGGGAUUUUGGACAAUGGGCGCAAGCCUGAUCCAGCAAUGCCGCGUGAGUGAAGAAGGCCUCGGUUGGUAAAGGUACGUCUUUUCCUAGUUUGGUAAAAGGAAAAAGGUUAGUAGACUAAUAAUACAUAACU
rnacentral:rRNA from 1 species